GAUGAACGCUGGCGGCGUGCCUAAUACAUGCAAGUCGAGCGAACAGAUGAGGAGCUUGCUCCUCUGACGUUAGCGGCGGACGGGUGAGUAACACGUGGAUAACCUACCUAUAAGACUGGGAUAACUUCGGGAAACCGGAGCUAAUACCGGAUAAUAUAUUGAACCGCAUGGUUCAAUAGUGAAAGACGGUUUUGCUGUCACUUAUAGAUGGAUCCGCGCCGCAUUAGCUAGUUGGUAAGGUAACGGCUUACCAAGGCAACGAUGCGUAGCCGACCCGAGAGGGUGAUCGGCCACACUGGAACUGAGACACGGUCCAGACUCCUACGGGAGGCAGCAGUAGGGAAUCUUCCGCAAUGGGCGAAAGCUUGACGGAGCAACGCCGCGUGAGUGAUGAAGGUCUUCGGAUCGUAAAACUCUGUUAUUAGGGAAGAACAAAUGUGUAAGUAACUAUGCACGUCUUGACGGUACCUAAUCAGAAAGCCACGGCUAACUACGUG
rnacentral:rRNA from 1 species